AAGAAACCUGCUCCCACGCAGAUAUCUCCUUAUACGGCAGAGAGAAGGAAACUCCUUAGAGUGGGAAAGUAUAAUCCAUUUCCCACACUAAACAGACCUAAGAUGAAGGAGCUCGCUGAUUGGUUGAAAACUGAUCCUGAUUAUUUCACUAAGGAAGAGGACAAACCACGUACAUCACCAACUUGGUGGUAUCAAAAACUCCGGACAUCCAAAGCAUGGCUGGAAGACGUAGUAAGUCUUCUGCUUAUCUUUAAGUCGUCUGGUAACUUGUCUUUGUAUAGAUUUGUAAAUAUAUAAGUCGUCUGGAAGGUUCUAACUUGUAUUAUUUUAUAUGCAGCAUAUAGAUGCUUGGAUGAAUGUGCUGAGGCAGAGGUAUAAGGAGAACCCACAAUGUUUCCGGAGCGAGCGAAUGUGCUUCCUGGAUCACAA